rnacentral:rRNA from 1 species
CCUUAUUGAUCAUGCCAAUAGUCAUAUAUAUGUCUCAGAGAUUAAGCCAUGCAAAUGUACGUAUGAACAAAUUCAAACUAGGAAAGUGCAAUUGUCUCAAUAAAUUAGUUAUUAUUUGUUUAAUGGUAUCUAAUACUUUGAUAACCAUAAUAAUUCUAGAGCUAAUACAUGAAACAAACCUCAUCUUCUAGAAGUGAUGCACUUAUUAGAUAAAAGGUUGAUGCAGGAUCACCCAUUGCUGUGAUGAUUCAUGAUAACUCGAUGGAUCGAAUGACCAUUGUGCCAAUGAUUAAAUAUUUUGAUUACUUCCCUAUCAACUUUUGUUGGUAGGAUAGUGGCAUACCAUGGUAGUGAUGGGUGAUGGAGUAUUAGGGUUCAAUUUCAGAGAAGAAUCUUGGGAAAAAGUUACCACAUCCAAGAAAGACAACAAGUGCAUAAAUUACCCAAUCCUAACACAAUGAGAUAGCGAUAAUAAAUAAUAAUACUAGGCUCUAUGAGUCUGGUAAUUGGAAUCAUUACAAUCUAUAUCCUUUGAUGAAGAUCUAUUAGAGGGUAAGUCCAAUGCCAACAAUUGCGGUAAUUCGAGCUCUAAUAGAAUAUAUUUAAGUUGUUAUAAUUAAAAAACACAUAGUUGAACUUUGGGAUUGGCUAGUCAGUCCACCUUUGGUCUACACUAGUCAUCUCAUCCCUUUUAUCAGUUAUGCACUCCAGGCCUUAAUUGACUAGGUCAUGCCUAUAGUAUUGUUAAUUAAAGAAAUUUGAGUGCUCAAAUCAAGCCUACACUAUGUAUACAUUAUCAUAGGAUCACUUUAUAGGAAUAUUGUCAUAUUAUGUUGGCCUUCUGAAUCAGAGUAAUGAUUUACAGGGAUAGUUAGAGGCAUUCGUAUUUCAUAGUUAGAGGUUAAAUUCUUAGAUUUAUGAAAGAUGAACUACCUAAGAAUUUGCCAAGGAUGUUUUCAUUAAUAAAGACAAAAGUUGGGAAUAAAAAAUGAGAAGAUACGUCUUAGUCUCAACCAUAAACAAAGUCGAUCAGGGACAUAAACAAUGUUGAUCAGGGAUCGAUGAGUGUUGUUUUUAGGACUCUACUGACACCUUAUGAGAAAUCGAAGUUUUUAGGUUUUGGGGGUAGUAUGAUCACAAGGCUGGAACUUAAAAGAACUGAAAAGAAUGCAUCACUAGUAGUGGAGCCUGCUACUUAUUUUGGCUCAAGAUGGGAAAACUUACAUGGUCUAGACAUAGUAAGGAUUGCCAGAUUGAAAACUCAUUCAUGAUUCUAUGGGUGGUGAUGCAUGGCUGCUCUUAGUUGCCGAAGCAAUUUUUCUGGUUAAUUCUAUUAAUAAAUGAUACCUCACCUACUGACUAGUUAUGCAAAAGUAUUCCUUUGCAGCUAGCUUCUUAGAGGGCCUACAACCUUUUAGGAUGCAGAAGUUUUAGGCAAUAACAUAUUUAUAAUCGCCUUCGAUGUUCUGGGCUAUACAUCAACUAUACUACUGUAUUCAAUGAGCUUAAAGCCUUGGCUAAUGGGUUGGGAGUUUAUAGUCUUAGCCGAUAGGCCCAAGAAGUCUUUAAAAUAUCAGUGUAAAGGAGAUAGAUCAUUGCAAUUGCUGGUAUUCAAUAAGGAAUUCCUAGUAAGCACAAGUCAUAAGCUUACUUUGACUGUGUCCCUUUUGUUUAUACGACCGCCCAUUGCUCCUACUGCUUGAUUGAUCCAGUGAAAUUUUUGGAUCACAACGAUAUGGGUAGUUUGAUACCCUUUACGUUACAACAAGUUUAUUAAACCUUGUUAUUUAGAGAAAAAAUAUAUCCUUAUAAGGUUUCUAUAGUUGUACCGACGAAAG